rnacentral:rRNA from 1 species
GACGAACGCUGGCGGCGUGCUUAACACAUGCAAGUCGAACGGAAAGGCCCUGCUUUUGUGGGGUGCUCGAGUGGCGAACGGGUGAGUAACACGUGAGUAACCUGCCCUUGACUUUGGGAUAACUUCAGGAAACUGGGGCUAAUACCGGAUAGGAGCUCCUGCUGCAUGGUGGGGGUUGGAAAGUUUCGGCGGUUGGGGAUGGACUCGCGGCUUAUCAGCUUGUUGAUGGGGUAGUGGCUUACCAAGGCUUUGACGGGUAGCCGGCCUGAGAGGGUGACCGGCCACAUUGGGACUGAGAUACGGCCCAGACUCCUACGGGAGGCAGCAGUGGGGAAUAUUGCACAAUGGGCGGAAGCCUGAUGCAGCAACGCCGCGUGCGGGAUGACGGCCUUCGGGUUGUAAACCGCUUUCGCCUGUGACGAAGCGUGAGUGACGGUAAUGGGUAAAGAGGCACCGGCUAACUACGUG